rnacentral:lncRNA from 1 species
AUUUGAGGAUACAGUACUCUCCCCUCAUCUGUGCUGUCACUUUUCGUGGUUUCAGUUACCUUCAGUCAACCAUGGUCUGAAAAUAGGUUGGUUCAUUAACGGAAAUAUUAACAGCAACUUAUAUGUACUUCUCCACUUGUUGCUCCAAGAGAUUUACAGCCUCUUUUUCUGUCUUCAGAUACUACUUUGAAAACAAGAUGAAAGCCAUGGAAUCUCCCGAGAAAAAUGUACAUCUUACAGACUUUCAGUGAGUUCUGGAAUACCAGGAACCAGAGCCCACACUAAUGAACAGCAGUUUCCUAACCUAAUGCGAGAGAUUUGAGAUUUCUUCUGGCUCCCAUGAUCUUCUAAUUGUCUUCUUAGCAAGACUAAACACAUCUCCAAGAAAUGUGCACUGCCAUGAAUGUCUUCCAGCUAUCUUCUAUGACAGCACUUCCCAGUGUGUUCUGUGGAAUAAUGGUACAGGGUGAUAUUCUAUGAAGAAAAAUACGGAAAGUAAUAUACUCCACAGUCCGUAUAUUAGAUCGGACUAAUAAAAAUAAAUAUGGAAAGUAAUAUAUUCCACAGUCAUAUAUUAGAUCGCCUACACAACAGCAAUUUGAUAUAGUUUAAUAGGAUUUGAAUGAAUAAAAUUAAUGCCCACAGCUACUUUCUUCUGCCGGUAAAUAUUUUUCUGCCCAUAAUCUUGCUAAACAGAAUUCAUCUGAACUUACGUUGUUGCCAACAAAUAUACGAACAAUUAUACCUAAUCAAAAACAAAAACCAAACUGAUGUUAAAGAAAAUUAAUCAUUUGCUUUGAAUAAAUCAACUAUUAAGAAAGCUUAUAUAAUUGAGCCUAACAGUGCCAAAUCAUGUCUGAGAUGAAAUGCUGCAUGAUACAUAAUCAAACAGACAUUUGCAAGAGCUGUGGGUUGGGGGAGAGUGCAAAUGUUUCCCAGCACUCCUGUAUGUCAUGGGAGCACACAAUAAAACACUUGAAAAGCUGCAAUAAUAAAAGGUUUAAAGAGCUGCAAUAAUAGGUUUUGCACACUGUAGUGGCUACUGACACUGAGAACAUUUUAGAAGUUCAUCUCUAUCAUCCAAACACUACACACCACCAUAUCUAUCUAUUACGUUUUAAUAGGAAUUCUAUACUAAUAUUUUAUCCCUUUGCAUCUGCUCUAUUUUACUAUUUGGGUCAUAUCUCUUGUUAGAAACAAUGUUU